UACGUAGGGUGCAAGCGUUGUCCGGAAUUAUUGGGCGUAAAGAGCUCGUAGGCGGUUUGUCGCGUCUGCUGUGAAAACUCGGGGCUCAACCCCGAGCUUCAGUGGGUACGGGCAGACUAGAGUGCGGUAGGGGAGACUGGAAUUCCUGGUGUAGCGGUGGAAUGCGCAGAUAUCAGGAGGAACACCGGUGGCGAAGGCGGGUCUCUGGGCCGUAACUGACGCUGAGGAGCGAAAGCAUGGGGAGCGAACAGG
rnacentral:rRNA from 1 species